UACGGAGGGGGCGAGCGUUAUUCGGAAUUAUUGGGCGUAAAGAGCUCGUAGGCGGCUUGUCACGUCGACUGUGAAAACCCGGGGCUCAACUCCGGGCCUGCAGUCGAUACGGGCUGGCUUGAGUGCGGUAGGGGGAGACUGGAAUUCCUGGUGUAGCGGUGAAAUGCGCAGAUAUCAGGAAGAACACCAAUGGCGAAAGCAGCUCUCUGGGACGGUACUGACGCUGAGACGCGAAAGCGUGGGGAGCGAACAGG
rnacentral:rRNA from 1 species